AAGAGGAACUCAGGGUUCUCCCGGAGAAGCGGCGGCGGCGGCUCCUCCAAGUCGGUGAGGCUGAUGUCGAGCCCUGAUCGCGAUAUGUCGUCCAGAGAGAAUGCAGUGACUCUGCUUGAUGCUUGUCAUACUGACUGACCUGGUCUGUUGUUUUGGAGCACCAUUGUUCCAACUCCUGCAAGCCAGCCUUGACAAAUUCUGCAUUGCUAAAUGAACAGCAUUCUCGGCGGAGUAGCAAGCUGCUGAUCACGGAGCAACUGAUUCUCUGACUCCAAUGUGCUGAUCUUGUUUUCAAGGCUGGAGGAUAAUUGCAAUACAUAAGUCAAGCUCAUUAGGAAUACAUUUUAGAGAGAACUCUCUGCACAAAAAGAAGGAAACAGAUGUACCAUGCUUCAUCAAGUAGCGCAAUUAUUCCUCCUGGUUUCUGCAUUCAAACGAUAAGAAUCAGGACAUAAAUUAUCAUAAUGGGUAUCACAUGAAUGCUGAGUAGGAAGUGCAUUUUACCUCCAGGACCUGUUGCUCUACUGUUCGGCCCUCCGUACAUG